AAUAAUACAGACCAGUUUGUUAAUAAUACAAACCAGUUCCUCAAGAGGAACAACCUAAAACGUGACACUGGUUUGUCCUGGUUUGGCGCUGGCUGACCUAACAGCGCUAUGCAGUUGUCAUAUGGUUCAAAUCUGUUUUUCUGCAGAGAUCUACCCAACGCUACUAAGGUCGACCGCCUAUGGUGUUUCCGUUGCCUCUGGGAUAGCUGGCUGUAUCUUCUCACCGUUCAUUGGGAUGUUGAGUGUCUACCACACGUCUCUUCCUUUCGUUGUCUAUGGAUCGAUCUCUCUGCUAUCCGCUAUAUUGGUUGCCGCCAUACUGCCAGAAACGAGAGGUCGUGACCUCUCUGAGGAACUUCCGCCGAAGAGAAAUCGCCAUUGCUGCACAUGCGCGUGUAGCUUCAAGGACACCAAUAAUAAAUUUACUAGUGCAGGAAAAUUGCAUAAAACUGAUAAAGCCUUGGUUAAAAUUGCGAAAGAGACCAACAGGGACUACAAACGCGACUAUUUUCAAAUGGACUUUUCGCAGCAACCACGGAGUGUUGAAAAGUAACGUUAGUAAUCCCAAACGGGUGUGGUGCGUUAAAACUUGAAUAUACUUAGGACUAUAGCGCUCUUUGGGUUCUUAACGUUGAACUUCUGAAAUAGCAUCAUGAAGAUAAGUAAAAACCUCUGCCGAAGGGGCGCUAUCACUGCAUGGCCGAGUCGCCAUUUAGUUUUUCAUGGGCAGCAGCCCGUGCUGAAGAUAAGUGCCGAUUGGCUGCCACAUUACUGCUUUGCGCAUGCAGGAUUGCCGGCAGAGGUCAUCACCAAUAACAACUAGCGAAGGGAAGACCUCUGUGACGGCGAUUGGAGGAGGACGUAUUGGAGAAUUUCCGUUUCUGAGUCUUUACUUUGUUUGGGAACGCUGAAAGACAGAUUGACGCGUUCUCUGUUCUCCCUAUUGAAAAGUCAUGGUCUCUCUCGCUGUCGA